GGGAAUGUGGCUUAGUGGUAGAGUGCUUGCUCAGCAUGCAGGAAGCCCUGGGUUCAAUUCCUCAGUACCA
rnacentral:tRNA from 1 species